CGGACGGGUGAGUAACGCGUGGGUAACCUGCCUCAUACAGGGGGAGUAACAGUUAGAAAUGACUGCUAAUACCGCAUAAGCGCACGAGAUCGCAUGAUAAAGUGUGAAAAACUCCGGUGGUAUGAGAUGGACCCGCGUCUGAUUAGCUGGUUGGUGGGGUAACGGCCCACCAAGGCGACGAUCAGUAGCCGACCUGAGAGGGUGACCGGCCACAUUGGGACUGAGACACGGCCCAAACUCCUACGGAAGGCAGCAG
rnacentral:rRNA from 1 species